rnacentral:rRNA from 1 species
ACAGGUGGUGCAUGGUUGUCGUCAGCUCGUGUCGUGAGAUGUUGGGUUAAGUCCCGCAACGAGCGCAACCCUCGUCCUAUGUUGCCAGCGGGUCAUGCCGGGGACUCAUGGGAGACUGCCGGGGUCAACUCGGAGGAAGGUGGGAUGACGUCAAAUCAUCAUGCCCCUUAUGUCUUGGGCUUCACGCAUGCUACAAUGGCCGGUACAAAGGGCUGCGAUACCGCGAGGUGGAGCGAAUCCCAGAAAGCCGGUCUCAGUUCGGAUUGGGGUCUGCAACUCGACCCCAUGAAGUCGGAGUCGCUAGUAAUCGCAGAUCAGCAACGCUGCGGUGAAUACGUUCCCGGGGCUU